rnacentral:rRNA from 1 species
GAUCCUGGCUCAGGACGAACGCUGGCGGCGUGCUUAACACAUGCAAGUCGAACGAGAAUCUGCUGAAGGAGGAUUCGUCCAACGGAAGUAGAGGAAAGCGGCGGACGGGUGAGUAACGCGUGAGGAACCUGCCUUGAAGAGGGGGACAACAGUUGGAAACGACUGCUAAUACCGCAUGACGCAUAGAGGUCGCAUGAUCUUUAUGCCAAAGAUUUAUCGCUUCAAGAUGGCCUCGCG